UCGAGAAUCUUCCGCAAUGGGCGAAAGCCUGACGGAGCGACGCCGCGUGAUAGAUGAAGUCCUUCGGGACGUAAAUAUCUUUUAUGGGGGAGAAAGUUUAUUGAUAGUACCCCAUGAAUAAGAGGUUGCUAAACUCGUGCCAGCAGCAGCGGUAAUACGAGUGCCUCGAGCGUUAUCCGGAAUUACUGGGCGUAAAGGGUGUGUAGGCGGUUGUGUUAGUCUUUUGUUAAAUUCUUCGGCUUAACCGGGGACCUGCAAAGGAAACGGCACAACUUGAGGAUGCGAGAGGUGAAUGGAACUCAUAGUGUAGGGGUGAAAUCCGUUGAUAUUAUGGGGAACACCAAAAGCGAAGGCAAUUCACUGGCGCACUCCUGACGCUGAGACACGAAAGCGUGGGUAGCGAAUGGG
rnacentral:rRNA from 1 species